GGCCAUUUAAACCUACUUAAAGCUACGGCUACACCAGCGCGUCAUGAACGCGGAAUGCGGGACGCGAUGCGGGAGCGUCCACGACACGAAUUUAUGCGUGCAUACCUACGCUACUGUUGUA